CUAUCGACAGGCUUAACACAUGCAAGUCGAGGGGCAGCACAGGUAGCAAUACCGGGUGGCGACCGGCGCACGGGUGAGUAACGCGUAUGCAACUUGCCUAUCAGAGGGGGAUAACCCGGCGAAAGUCGGACUAAUACCGCAUGAAGCAGGGGCCCCGCAUGGGGAUAUUUGCUAAAGAUUCAUCGCUGAUAGAUAGGCAUGCGUUCCAUUAGGCAGUUGGCGGGGUAACGGCCCACCAAACCGACGAUGGAUAGGGGUUCUGAGAGGAAGGUCCCCCACAUUGGUACUGAGACACGGACCAAACUCCUACGGGAGGCAGCAGUGAGGAAUAUUGGUCAAUGGCCGAGAGGCUGAACCAGCCAAGUCGCGUGAGGGAUGAAGGUUCUAUGGAUCGUAAACCUCUUUUAUAAGGGAAUAAAGUGCGGGACGUGUCCCGUUUUGUAUGUACCUUAUGAAUAAGGAUCGGCUAACUCCGUGCCAGCAGCCGCGGUAAUACGGAGGAUCCGAGCGUUAUCCGGAUUUAUUGGGUUUAAAGGGUGCGUAGGCGGCCUUUUAAGUCAGCGGUGAAAGUCUGUGGCUCAACCAUAGAAUUGCCGUUGAAACUGGGGGGCUUGAGUAUGUUUGAGGCAGGCGGAAUGCGUGGUGUAGCGGUGAAAUGCAUAGAUAUCACGCAGAACCCCGAUUGCGAAGGCAGCCUGCCAAGCCAUUACUGACGCUGAUGCACGAAAGCGUGGGGAUCAAACAGGAUUAGAUACCCUGGUAGUCCACGCAGUAAACGAUGAUCACUAGCUGUUUGCGAUACACUGUAAGCGGCACAGCGAAAGCGUUAAGUGAUCCACCUGGGGAGUACGCCGGCAACGGUGAAACUCAAAGGAAUUGACGGGGGCCCGCACAAGCGGAGGAACAUGUGGUUUAAUUCGAUGAUACGCGAGGAACCUUACCCGGGUUUGAACGCAUUCGGACCGAGGUGGAAACACCUUUUCUAGCAAUAGCCGUUUGCGAGGUGCUGCAUGGUUGUCGUCAGCUCGUGCCGUGAGGUGUCGGCUUAAGUGCCAUAACGAGCGCAACCCUUGCCACUAGUUACUAACAGGUUAGGCUGAGGACUCUGGUGGGACUGCCAGCGUAAGCUGCGAGGAAGGCGGGGAUGACGUCAAAUCAGCACGGCCCUUACAUCCGGGGCGACACACGUGUUACAAUGGCGUGGACAAAGGGAUGCCACCUGGCGACAGGGAGCGAAUCCCCAAACCACGUCUCAGUUCGGAUCGGAGUCUGCAACCCGACUCCGUGAAGCUGGAUUCGCUAGUAAUCGCGCAUCAGCCAUGGCGCGGUGAAUACGUUCCCGGGCCUUGUACACACCGCCCGUCAAGCCAUGGGAGCCGGGGGUACCUGAAGUCCGUAACCGAAAGGAUCGGCCUAGGGUAAAACUGGUGACUG
rnacentral:rRNA from 1 species